rnacentral:rRNA from 1 species
GACGGAGGGUGCAAGCGUUGUUCGGAUUGACUGGGCGUAAAGGGCGUGUAGGCGGUUGGUCAAGUCCGAUGUGAAAGCCCGGGGCUCAGCUUCGGAAGUGCAUCGGAAACUAGCCAGCUGGAGCGCGAUAGAGGAGGGCGGAAUUCCUGGUGUAGCGGUGAAAUGCGUAGAUAUCAGGAGGAACACCGGCGGCGAAGGCGGCCCUCUGGAUCGUUGCUGACGCUGAGACGCGAAAAGCGUGGGGGAGCAAACAGG